rnacentral:rRNA from 1 species
UACAGGGGGUGCAAACGUUGCUCGGAAUCAUUGGGCGUAAAGCGCACGUAGGCGGAUCGUUAAGUCGGGGGUGAAAUCCUGGAGCUCAACUCCAGAACUGCCUUCGAUACUGGCGAUCUCGAGUCCGGAAGAGGUGAGUGGAACUCCUAGUGUAGAGGUGGAAUUCGUAGAUAUUAGGAAGAACACCAGUGGCGAAGGCGGCUCACUGGUCCGGUACUGACGCUGAGGUGCGAAAGCGUGGGGAGCAAACAGG